GGGGGUAUAGCUCAGGGGUAGAGCACUUGACUACAGAUCAAGAGGUCCCUGGUUCAAAUCCAGGUGUCCCCU
rnacentral:tRNA from 2 species